CACAGGUUCCCCCUUCCUGUUUGUGAACACAUCAGGUCGUCAUGGCGGUCAACGUGCUCAGCUGCUGCUGCCCCCCCUCAAAGAGAACGACACGCACUGCGUCAGCUUCCUGUUCUACCAGGGGGGGGGGCGUGAGGGCGCUACACCCGCCACGCUCAACGUCUACAUCAAAGAGAACAACAGUCCUCUGGGAAUUCCCGUCUACAACUCGUCAGGCCCCGCCUACCAUAUCUGGAAGGGGGUGGAGCUCGCUGUCUCCACCUUCUGGCCAAACUACUACCAGGUUGUGUUCGAGGCCGUCAGCACCGGUCACAGAGGAGUUCUGGCCAUCAAGGACAUCACACUACAGGGACACCAGUGCA